UAAUUUAAUUUAUAUCAUUUAAUACUUUAAGUUAAAGAUAAAGAAAAAAUAAUUAUAUUAUCAUGAAUUUUCAAUUAGAGUAAUUUAUUGAAAAUCAAUUAGUAUUUUUAUACUACAAAUAAUAUUUUAAAGUAACUUUAGAGAUUAAAUUAGUUUUUCAAUAUUAAUAUCUUAUGCUCUAAUUUUAUUAAAAUUAUCAAAUUAUCCUUAUACCUAAUUUUUACCAAAACCCUAAAUCCCCAAAAUAUCACGCUAAUCCUAAUUCUACCCUAACCCUUAGCCACCACCGCCACACCCCCCAAACCCUUCAGCCAAACUUCAGCCACUAACCAAGAAAGAAAUGAAAAAAAAAAGAAAGAAAGGGGGAAAGAGGGAACGGGAGAGCAGAGGGGAAGAGAGAUCGGUGAGGGAGAAGAGUAGAGGGAGGAGCUACAUCGCCAUCACCGGCCUUGGGCUCGCCGCCGUUCAUACCCCGUUGCGUCACCACCCAGCCGUCUCCAGCCCACCGCCAGUCGCUGUUGUCUUCACCAAGGGAGGAGAGAGAAAAAGGCGAACGCGAGGAGAGAGAGAGAGAGGGAGCUCGCGAGGAAGCUGCCGCCUUCGAAGCUGGGUUCGUCGUUGCCGUUAGAGUCCGCAUCACUAUCGAACUUGCUGCUGUCACCGAGGGGAAGCCCGUCGCCGCCAGCUUCGUCGGGUCCCCGCCGCCGAGCCCGUCUUUGCCACCGCCACUGGAAGCGCGAAGAGAGAACGCGCGAGGGAAACUGUCGCAGAGCUGCCGUCGCCGCCGCGUUGCUGGGCUCGCCGUCGUCCUGCCCGCGCGGCUGCUGCGUUGCCGGAGCUCCUCGCCGCCGCUGUUGACGACGGAAACUGCCUUCCAAGCCUGUGUCUGUUGGUUAUACGGUCACCACGAGUUUCUCUGUCGCCGUCCAAGCUGCCACCAGAAGGAUCCACCACAGCCUCCUCUGUUCUUGUCUUCGAAUUAGAACUGCCCUUUUCCACUGAAUAUGUCUGUUUGAAAAAUUAAAAUGGGUGCUGCUGCCACCGGUUCGGUCACAUUGGAAUCACUGCUGCUGCCAUAAAACAGAAAGGGAAGGGAGUUACUAUGUUUAACCUGUGUGAAUUCAACUAGUUGAGGAACCGGAUGAAGAAGCAUUAAGAAGAGUUAUACUGCGUCUGGUUUAUAAGAUGUUGUAUUAAUUAGAUGUUUUCUCCCCUCGUCUUUGUUAUUACAAGUGUGUAAGAGGGAUAGGAAUUGUAUGUUUUAUAUGUAUAUUAUAUUAUGAGUUAUUAUGUAAAGAGUCUUGUAUAUGAAUCUAUGCCUGUUUGUAUUUUUCUUAAGAUAAAGUGUGUAUUUUUUUUGGUUCUUUUGAAGAAAUCAGCGAUACAGUGUCAGGCCACAGGCUCCUAUUUUAGUAUUUCGUAUGUAAAGUAGUCGUAAUACUUCUUCCUAUCAGAGUGGCGCAGCCGGAAGCGUGAGUUCU